rnacentral:lncRNA from 1 species
AAAAUUGAGCGAUUUUCAUCAAUUUAUUCAAUCUGUGAUCCAAUAUACUUAGUAUUCAAUCAAAACAAAGCUUAUACAGUUUUUGAUAUUCCAUUAAAAAUAAAAUUAAUGUUGAGCAACAUUGAUCCCUCCGCCGAGUACGCGGCGAGCAAGCGGAAGCGGCGGCCGGCGGGGACGCCAGAUCCGGACGCGGAGGUGGUGUCGAUUUUCAGAGAGGGAAGAGUGGGAAUAGGGCAGCGGUACCCCAGCGAAACCAGCGGCGGAGGCAUCGGACCUUCGCCGGUCCAAGGCGGCACCGAUUGCACGUGAAUUCUCGCGCCGUUCGGGUCGCCCCGCCAAGAUACGGUUGGAUAAUCCGAUUACCCGACCCAAUAGCUCAUACAAACAAAAAAGGAGGAGAAAAAUAAUCAUCACAGCCUCUUCAAUCCGACGCAAAAACUAGCAAGUUACCCGGAGGGAAAAAAAAAGAAAAAGAGACAACGGCCACCCCCACACAUGUCCCUUCCCCUCGCUCGUCUCUUUCCCGCUCCGAUCUGAAAAUCGGUGACUGAGAAAGGGCGAAUCAAGCCGGCUCCAGAAAUCAACCGUCCACUCCAAUUUCCCCAAUUAACAACCAUUCAUUCUAACUAAUUUCCCCAAUUUUUAUACAAAAUUGAAAAAUACAAAUUCGAAAUAAAUUUUCUCAUCUGCUGCGCCGAUCUCCUGAGCGCCGGAGAUUGCUCCGAGAAGUCGAGGGGCGGCGGAGAUCUGAUUAUAUUCAGAACUAGAUCUGAUUAUAAGUCGAUGGUGCGCAUGGCGGCGUCCUUCGCCACCGCCAAGGUCAGCGUCGCCGACGCCGUCGCCGUCUUCCUCCACUCAUCUCCCGCCGAAGCUUGGGACUGCGAGUCGCCGUCAGCUUCGACGCCACCACCGCCGCGCAGCUACUGGCGAGAGAGAGAGAACAGAG